rnacentral:lncRNA from 9 species
AUGUUGCCAAGUCAACCUCUGGGUGGCUGCUACGUUCAGGGACAGGCCCCCUCCCCGCCCCCCAACAUCUGUGCACGCGUCUUUCCUUUGAAGGAGCUUCCAAGGAUAACCUCUACUACUGGGUGGUUCCCGCACUUGCUUCCUCUGGGAAACCACUGUCCUCUCAGAGGCUCCCCGAAGACGCAUUCCAGUGCCAAGCAGCCGAGAGAGCAGAGCGGGGAGGAAGGAGACCCUCUUACGGAUGUCACUGCAGGGUCAGGUCCUCACUCACUUUCCCACCAGGGGACCCCUCCAGCCACCCGGUCCUAUGAUUCUCAAUCGGGAAUCACAGGCGUUACAAGCCUGUGUUCAUUCGUUCCUUAUCGUAGAAUGCAUUGCUGAUGAAUGCAACAACAUGAAGAGCUCUCAAAAACGAUAUGCAUACCUAGUGAAUGACUGAUUACAUUUGGAUGAAGUGCAGGAGCAGAGAAAACGAAUCCUUGGUGAUGGGAGACAGCACAGUGAACACGGAGGUGGAAGGAGAGUCAGAGGGACAGCUCCGGGGAAGGCUUACGGGUGCGAUGGAGAAGUGCUGGGUGGGAUGGGACCUCCAAGCGUCUCCAAGGAGAUAAAACUCAAACAGCCUCCAGCCGAGAUAAGAACCGUCACACCCUCAUCACCCCACCUGCCUCACCGUCGCAGUCACAACGUUCCCAAGGAGCUGCCCACCCAGCACCCUGGCCUCCUCCUUCCUGCCCCCACUAGAAGGUAGAUAGCCCACUCCUCACCCCGCCCCUACAGGGGCAGCAUAUGCCCCCAACCAACCAGUAAGUGUAUCAGGAGACGCCAUCCUUCCCCAACCCAUCAGCAGGUCAACAGGUGCACGGCAAGACCACUCCUCGCACUCCUUUGUCUCCGGGCUAGAAGAACAGACCCGACCCUGUACCCAGGGCCGCCUCUCCCAGGUGAUCAGGAAGUCGGCCCACUGCGUUAACAGCAUCUCUUGCCUCAAUACACUUGCCCUUUCUACAACUUAGUUUAAAUCCGGAAACUUCUUUUCCCACCCGCGUGCAGAGACCACAACAUUUUGGUGGCCUGUAUGGGAACUACUGGGGAUCUCCCCUGCUCCUUUUCUCUUUCUGGAACCCUCUGUGGACAGGUGAGCAGCUAUGGAAGCAACUGAGGAAUUCUGGCCAGGGUUACACUCUGGUGUGUUCUGAAGGCCCCACUGCUCCCCUGACCUUAGUAACUGCCGCCCUAAGGGGUGAGGGUUCCUCUUUUUUUUUCUCCAGGCCGGGGACCAUACCGACUGAUACCAUGCGGGACAGGAGACCUGAAGCUGAAUAGCACGCUCCGUCGGCUUGAAGACUCGCGUGAGAGGAUAAGGGGGUCAUGGAGCAGACCAGGCUGUGAGAGCGUCUGCCCCCAGCAGGACAACGUCCAUGCAAUGAGAGGCACAUAGCGGCUAAAGCAAAAACACAGAGCCUGCCAGCCCUCGGCCACCACCUCCCCAAAAGGACUACAAGGCGGAACCCCCAGCCUUCUCUCCCUGGUAGCUUUGCUCUGUCUUCCUUGGCCCGGAUUGGCUGUGGAGGACCUCACUGCUCUGGUGGCAUCCUGAGAACUCCUUCCACGUCCUGGGGGUCGCUAAACAUUGAGUCAAUUCCCCUCCCGGCUGGCUCCCCUCCCUGUUUUAGGGUGACCUAGUCGCACGGUCCCCUGACUCCCCAGUUUUCUCUGGCCACCUCUCCUCGUCAGACACGACUGUGGGGAGGGUGGGGGCCUUGGGCUUUAGUCACACAGAGACGUCCUUGAGACAAAAAGGGAUGCCUUUUUGCCAGUGGGUGACUCUCGGUACCCCCGUUCUAUGGCAUUUAGGCUAAGGAAGGUUCUGGCACAUCCCGGGAGCCCCCUGCAGAUUCUCCCCUUGGCUGUAUCCUCAGGAAAUGGAAGAAAUUUGAUCCAAUCUCAAAAAGAAUAGGGUUCUUUUCUUUUCUGUCUUCUGUCUUUUUAGGGCCACACCCAGGGCAUAUGGAGGUUCCCAGGCUAGGGGUUGAAUCAGAGCUGCAGCUGCUGGCUUACACCACAGCCACAGCAACAUGGGAUCCAAGCCAUGUCUGCGACCUACACUACAGCUCACCGCAACGCCAGAUCCUUAACCCACUGAGAGAGGCCAGGGAUCGAACCCACUUCCUCACGGAUACUAGUCAGGUUCAUUAACCACUGAGCCAUGAUGGGAACGCCCUCAUUUUCUUUUCUAACACAGCGUGGCCCCAACACAAACUGGGAAGCCAAGAACAGUGGCCUCUUAAGGGCACACUAAGCUAUAACACAGUUCUCCAUCUGGAUCUCUUCUGUCGAAAACAAGGAAAGAACUCCGAGGUAACUUAGGUCCAGGCCUUCAUGGCCCGCAGCCAAAACGCGGGCCUAAGGGACUCCUGCCACAUGCGUCUCUCUGCUGCUGCUCUGUCGCCUCGUCUCCCCCCACCCCCCCACCAGACAUUCUGCAUGACCCUUCCCGAACUCGAUCGCACCAG